UCCCCGCCAAUCACAGCCACGGCCGGAACGUUUUCAGCCAAUGACGGGGAAGCUUCUGUUUCCUGUUGCAAUCCAGCUGUAAACUGCUUUUACAUGUUUGGGGGUUAGAUGCACAGCAGCUUUCUACAUCUGCUCCAUAUGUUACUAUUAUACCCACAGAUAAUGCAUAUAAUUCAGGGAAACUCGGUGGCUUAGAUGGAGGUACCCAAACCUUUUGGGGCUUCGGCACACCACGAUCCAACCCGAAGACUUGGGGCACACCAACAUGAUUAUGAUUAGGAAAAAGUGUCACAAACAUCGGCCAGGUUUAUAUAUACAACCGGAUUGUGUUUCGAUGCAAAAACGCAUCUGUUUACAUGCAACGUCUUAGCCUGUCUACACAAAGGGGCGUUCUACGAGAGAUUCCUGCUUGAUAUGCAUAUGCACAUACCGGAAACUUUUACCAGAAUUUUCUUGCAAAGGUUUUUACAUACUCUGAGAAUCGGUGCGAUAACGCACUGAAAUGUGUUAAAUGCUAGAAAUUCGUAGAUGUAUAAUAUACACUAGGUUUUGAGGCGUUUAAUCGCAAUAUUUCU